GACGAACGCUGGCGGCGUGCCUAAUACAUGCAAGUCGAACGAGUGGCGGACGGGUGCGUAAUGUAUGGGGAUUUGCCCGAUAGAGGGGGAUAACUACUGGAAACGGUGGCUAAUACCGCAUACUAUCGGAUGAACCCAUAUGGGAUUAGCUAGUAGGCGGGGUACAGGCUCACCUAGGCGACGAUCUUUAGCUGGUCUGAGAGGAUGAUCAGCCACACUGGAACGGAGACACGGCCCAGACUCCUACGGUAGGCAGCAGUGGGGAAUAUUGCACAAUGGGCGCAAGCCUGAUGCAGCCAUGCCGCGUGUAUGAAGAAGGCCUUAGGGUUGUAAAGUACUUUCAGCGAGGAGGCGUUACCAGCAGAAGAAGCACCGGCUAACUCCGUGCCAGCAGCCGCGGUAAUUC
rnacentral:rRNA from 1 species